rnacentral:tRNA from 1 species
GGGGCUGUAGCUCAGUGGCAAAGUGCUUGCCUAGCAUGCAUGAGGCACUGGGUUCAAUCCUCAGCACCA